rnacentral:rRNA from 1 species
UUGAACGCUGGCGGCAUGCUUUACACAUGCAAGUCGAACGGUAACAGGCCUUCGGGUGCUGACGAGUGGCGAACGGGUGAGUAAUACAUCGGAACGUGCCCAAUCGUGGGGGAUAACGCAGCGAAAGCUGUGCUAAUACCGCAUACGAUCUACGGAUGAAAGCAGGGGAUCGCAAGACCUUGCGCGAAUGGAGCGGCCGAUGGCAGAUUAGGUAGUUGGUGAGGUAAAGGCUCACCAAGCCUUCGAUCUGUAGCUGGUCUGAGAGGACGACCAGCCACACUGGGACUGAGACACGGCCCAGACUCCUACGGGAGGCAGCAGUGGGGAAUUUUGGACAAUGGGCGAAAGCCUGAUCCAGCCAUGCCGCGUGCAGGAUGAAGGCCUUCGGGUUGUAAACUGCUUUUGUACGGAACGAAAAGUCUCUUUCUAAUAAAGAGGGAUCAUGACGGUACCGUAAGAAUAAGCACCGGCUAACUACGU